AGCAGCCGCGGUAAUUCCAGCUCCAAUAGCGUAUAUUAAAGUUGUUGCAGUUAAAAAGCUCGUAGUUGAACUUCGGGGUUUACUCAUUGGUCAGGCUUAAUUGUCUGUACUGGUAAGAUGAAUCUCUACCUUCUGAGGAACUUUCAUGCCAUUUAUUUGGUGUGAUUGGAAAUCAGGACUAUUACUUUGAAAAAUUAGAGUGUUUAAAGCAGGCUAACGUCUGAAUACAUUAGCAUGGAAUAAUGAAAUAGGACGGACUGAUUCUAUUUCGUUGGUUUCUAGGAUCACCGUAAUGAUUAAUAGGGAUAGUUGGGGGCAUUAGUAUUCAAUUGUCAGAGGUGAAAUUCUUGGAUUUAUUGAAGCUAACUACUGCGAAAGCAUUUGCCAAGGAUGUUUUCAUUAAUCAAGAACGAAAGUUAGGGGGAUCGAAGACGAUCAGAUACCGUCGUAGUCUUAACCAUAAACUAUGCCGACUAGGGAUCGGACGAAGUUAAUUUAUAAUUGACGCGUUCGGCACCUU
rnacentral:rRNA from 1 species